GAUGAGAGGAGGAGGAUGAGAGACGUGUGGCGCAGUGUUGCCCUAGCUAAGGUACCAGCCAAGCAUCCCGGAGAGAGCCCCCAGCAGACCUACAGACGCCUGGGGAGCCAGCCUACACCAGCCACUCUGCACCGCCAUGUUUAUGUCAAACUGAGGACUCACCAGUGCUGUGGAUAUGCUGUAUAACCUGUUCUAAAGAGGCAGUUGCACAGUGGUACCGUAACAAUCAGAGAAGAAAAAGAAAUAAAAGGAAUCCAAAUCGGAAAAGAAGAAGUAAAGCUGUCACUGUUUGCAGAUGACAUGAUACUAUAUAUAGAGAAUCCUAAAGAUGCUACCAGAAAACUACUAGAGC